UUGGUCCCUUCAUAGCUAUCCUCGGCUGC
rnacentral:piRNA from 1 species